CUGCCACCGCCUCUGAUCCAAGCCACCUUCUGCCAGAGAGGUGUCAUGGGCUUCCAGAAGUUCUCCCCCUUCCUGGCUCUCAGCAUCUUGGUCCUGUUGCAGGCAGGCAGCCUCCAUGCAGCACCAUUCAGGUCUGCCCUAGAGAGCAGCCCAGACCCAGCCACACUCAGUGAGGAGGAAGCGCGCCUCCUGCUGGCUGCACUGGUGCAGGACUAUGUGCAGAUGAAGGCCAGUGAGCUGGGGCAGGAGCCGGAGACCGAGGGCUCCAGCCUGGACAGCCCCAGAUCUAAGCGGUGCGGUAAUCUGAGUACUUGCAUGCUGGGCACAUACACGCAGGACUUCAACAAGUUUCACACGUUCCCCCAAACUGCAAUUGGGGUUGGAGCACCUGGAAAGAAAAGGGAUAUGUCCAGCGACUUGGAGAGAAACCAUCGCCGUUAUAAUCACUGCCCAGAAGAGAGCCUGUGACACUGCCACCUGUGUGACUCAUCGGCUGGCAGGCUUGCUGAGCAGAUCAGGGGGUGUGGUGAAGAACAACUUUGUGCCCACCAAUGUGGGUUCCAAAGCCUUCGGCAGGCGCCGCAGGGACCUUCAAGACUGGGCAGCUGAAUGACUCAAGAAGGUCACAGUGAAGCUGAACUCCUUUUAUUGUGUAAUGAAAGCAAUCUGUAGGAAAGGCUCCGUGGAAGACAUACAUACAGGCAUCCUUCUUGAUACUGAAAACUAUCUUCUUUGUUUGAAAGGAACUAUUGCUAAACGCAGAACAAGCUCAUUGCAGUUACCUAUUGUGCAUCUUUUUAAAUACUUGAUUAUAUAACUAUAAAUCUGACAGCAUGUCUCACUGGCUUAUCUGGUAGCAAAUCUAGGCCCCGUCAGCCAUCCUGUUGACAUUGGUGGCUCUGCUAAACCUCAGGGGGACAUGAAAUCACUGCCUCUUGGGCAUCUGGGGACACAUGGUAAUGCUGUGCUUUGACAGAAGUAUUUGUUUAAAGAAAUGUCAAUGCUGUAAUUUGUGAACUCUAUCAAAAUUAAAAAUGUAUUUUCUAUACCCUUCA